AUUGAACGCUGGCGGCAUGCUUUACACAUGCAAGUCGAACGGCAGCGCGGGCUUCGGCCUGGCGGCGAGUGGCGAACGGGUGAGUAAUGCAUCGGAACGUGCCCAGUAGUGGGGGAUAGCCCGGCGAAAGCCGGAUUAAUACCGCAUACGACCUGAGGGUGAAAGCGGGGGACCGAAAGGCCUCGCGCUAUUGGAUCGGCCGAUGUCGGAUUAGCUAGUUGGUGGGGUAAAGGCCUACCAAGGCGACGAUCCGUAACUGGUCUGAGAGGAUGACCAGCCACACUGGGACUGAGACACGGCCCCGACUCCUACGGGAGGGAGCAGUGGGGAAUAUUGGACAAUGGGGGAAAGCCUGAUCCAGCCAUGCCGCGUGGGGGAAGAAGGGCUUCGGGGUGUAAAGCCCUUUUUGUUGGGAGGAAAAGCACUAGGGUAAAACCCCGGGGGGGUGACGGUACCCGGAGAAAAAGCCCCGGCUAACUUCGGG
rnacentral:rRNA from 1 species